CUGCCCUCUCGUAUCUUAUCCAUUUCUCUCGCUCUGGCGAUGGCGACGGCGACAGACCGACUUCUGCGGAGACGGCGCGGCGAGGCGGGGCAGGUGCUACGGAGGAUGGAGGACGCCGGAGGACGCCGGAGCAGAGCACGACAGCUCCCGCCUUCGCUGCUGUCCGCGCGCGCCUCGCCUCCGUCCGCGCCGGAGCGCUGCUGUCCGCGCGCGCCUCGCCUCCGUCCGCGCCGGAGAGCUGCUGUCCGCGCGCGCCUCGCCUCCGUCCGCGCCGGAGCGCUGCUGUCCGCGCGCGCCUCGCCUCCGCCCGCGUCCUGCCGCGUCCCAACCGCGCUGGGAGACCGCCUCUGCCUGCCGCGCGCGCCACGGAGUAACCGAGUGAGCUCACCUCCGCGGCUGCCCUUCCCGCGGUCGGCGAGCUCCAUCCUCUCUUGCCCCACCGUCGAGUUCGAGAAUAUGGCAAAACCGCAAAAAGGAGGCGAUGGAGGUUGUUCCGCCGUCGACAUGAAUCAUACAGAUGCAGGCUUUGCCUGUACCCCCUGAUCCUUGUGCUCCGGUGCCGGCACCUGUCCCUGUGCGGUGCCGUGCUCAGGAAUUUGGCGAAGAAGGCGGCUGCCGUGCUUGCGCGCGAGAAGGGCGCCGGACCUUGUUGGCGCUGCGAAGGGGGCACAGCUCAGGUUGGGUACGCCGGCGGCGAGCACGCUCCACUUCUUCACCUGGCUGGAGCACCUGCUCCUCCCAUCACGCGCAGAUCGACGGAGCAGUUCGAUGGUCGUUGCCCAACUGCGUGCAAUUCAGUACUGCUCUGCCCCAUCGACUUCAACCACCAGCUCGCGAGGUGCACGCCAUGUGUUUGCUAAAAAAGACUCAGCGCACUACAACACCAUUUUUCUUUGUUUCAUGGUCAUUUGUAGGUAGCUCAUUCUUGCUAAUUUCUGUAGCUUAGACUACUUUACAACGUUUAUCCUGUGUGCUCUGCACUUUAGGUUGUUUGCACGAACAGUACACUACAAGGAAUUUUGUCCAUUUGAUCUGUGUUGAGAAAAAAGUUUGAAGUGUUUUAAAAAACAGUUGGUUUAUAUUGUUGUAUUGUGAUUCACCAGAAGGAAUUAUGGCAGUAGUUCAGCGAAAAAGGUUUACCUCAGUUCAGACUAGAGUUGCUGGUGCUUUAGGGUGGAUGGUCCAGAUAGACCAAAACAAUGGUACCUAUGUUUACUGCACUUGCAUACUCUGGUAAGUGCUUAGGCCUGAUUUGUUGUUAGCAUCCUGGGUAAUUAAUCCCCUUCCUGCAACUUUCAGCUUGCUUGUGGACCCAAGAUUGUCCAAGUGAGAUCCCCAAGGUGUUGGCUGCACACGAAGUCUCGUUUCUUGGUAAUGGCGAACCAGUUUCCAUAUCUCAGCAUAUUCAACAUGUUAAGAGUUCAAUUUGUCUCGGUAUGCUGCUAUAGGGCUUGGGCACAUGCGCCUUUCUCAAGAUGUGUCUGCAAGCAGCUAUACAUUUUUAUCCUGUUGUGCUCUGAUCGCCUGAUGGUCUUGGAUGGUGUAAUUGCUUUUGAUGAUUUAGGAAAAUUUGUGUUAAAUCUUCUCGAAAGAUUCAAGCUGGUUGACAUGAAACCGGUGGUGGAGCAGUGUAGCAGACGUCAAGGCUAUGAAUGGCGGCAAGGGAUAAGAGCCCUGGCGCUUGCUUGAGAAUUUAGUUGCUAUAGCUAAUAACGACUGACCAAAUCAGUAUGUCUGGAAGUUGAACAUUUAGGCUACAACCUGUACGAGACAAAUGAGCUUGUUUAAGGAAUUCAAGUAUGGACGUGGAGCAGCAGAUGGAUGGAUGUUAGCCAACACAAAAGUUGCACACGGCAGAUCUGAGAUCUUCCACUUGCUACUCGCUCUUGUCAAGACAUUAGCAAGGCCAUUGUCCAUCUCCAGAGAAGCGCAAGGCCAAUAGCCCACUAGAUAAGGCUAUCGAGGAGCCGUCUGAAAUAGAUGUACUUACUGCGUUAUUUGAAAUGAAUGGAUAUCUUGUUGACACAGUUUUGGGAUAAAAUAAAACAGAUUAAGUGAUGGGUGUCAGGCUCUAUGGUGUGUUUGACUACAACACUACUGAUGUCGCACAAUCUGCCGGGGAUGAAGUGGCAGAUGCCAUCGCAAGUGUUUGCACAUGAUGCAGUAAUAGACAAAGCAUAUCAAGGUGCAGUGUCCUAGGCUCCUAGGUGUUCAAAGGUUCAUGCAUAUCCAAGUGUUCUUGACCCAUGAAGUAGCAGACUAGCAGCCACAUACAUGUUCACUCUGCAUGGAGAUUCAGUAUGCAUAUAUCAAGAAAAUAUAUCAGACAGUGUUAUUCCCGUUUUCUGGCAACAAGCAGAGUGACUGCUAAGCUCUUCAGCAUGUCCGCAGUCAAUCUGGUAGCAAAAGCAGUUGCAAAGGAAAGUUGACUACACUGACAAAAAAUAGAUGUUUGCUUUAUUCUAUUAUAUGCAGAACUAUACUACAUUAUAUCUUUAGACUGGGACAUUGAUGUAUAGACCAUCAUUUUUUAGUACUUAGAAGGGGUUCAUGGCAAAAGAUAAAUUUCAGAUGUACAUGGUAUAACUCUCACCUUUGAGGUUCUUGAGGACAUGUUCUAUUUGAUGUUCUUCAGGAGAGGUUCAAGAUUACAUUCAAGGAGAGAAUGUAGCCAUAGUGACAUUCAUGAAGUGAAGCAACUGCCAGCAUUGUAGGAGAGGUGUAGUCGGGGCUGUCAUACCAUGUAAAUCAGUGAGCUACUCUUUGUAGAGUUGCUACGAAAUUUAUGUUAAUUUCCUGCGGAUGAAUAAGUUCCUAA